rnacentral:rRNA from 1 species
GACGAACGCUGGCGGCGUGCUUAACACAUGCAAGUCGAACGGAAAGGCCCUGCUUUUGUGGGUUGCUCGAGUGGCGCACGGGUGAGUAUCACGUGAGUAACCUGCCCUUGUCUUUGGGAUAACUUCAGGAAACUGGGGCUAAUACCGGAUAGGAGCUCCUGCUGCAUGGUGUGGGUUGGAAAGUUUCGGCGGUUGGGGCUGGACUCGCGGCUUAUCAGCUUGUUGGUGGGGUAGUGGCUUACCAAGGUUUUGACGGCUAGCCGGCCUGAGAGGGUGACCGGCGACAUUGGGACUAAGAUACGGCGCAGACUCCUACGGGAGGCAGCAGUGGGGAAUAUUGCACAAUGGGCGGAAGCCUGAUGCAGCAACGCCGCGUGCGGGAUGACGGCCUUCGGGUUGUAAACCGCUGUCGCAUGUGACGAAGAGUGAGUGACGGUAAUGAGUAAAGAAGCACCGGCUAACUACGUG